AUUGAACGCUGGCGGCAUGCUUUACACAUGCAAGUCGAACGGCAGCGCGGGCUUCGGCCUGGCGGCGAGUGGCGAACGGGUGAGUAAUACAUCGGAACGUGCCCAGUAGUGGGGGAUAGCUCGGCGAAAGCGGGAUUAAUACCGAAUACGACCUGAGGGUGAAAGCGGGGGUUCUUGGGACCUCGCGCUAUUGGAGCGGCCGAUGGCAGAUUAGCUAGUUGGUGGGGUAAAGGCCUACCAAGGCGACGAUCUGUAGCUGGUCUGAGAGGACGACCAGCCACACUGGGACUGAGACACGGCCCAGACUCCUACGGGAGGCAGCAGUGGGGAAUUUUGGACAAUGGGCGAAAGCCUGAUCCAGCAAUGCCGCGUGUGUGAUGAAGGCCUUCGGGUUGUAAAGCACUUUUGGCGGGAACGAAAAGGACUGUGCCAAUACCACGGUUCGAUGACGGUACCCGCAGAAUAAGCACCGGCUAACUACGUG
rnacentral:rRNA from 1 species